GAACGGUAUCGUAAUACCUGAUGACUUUGGUCGCCCGUGGCGUCCUAGCCGUUUCUGAAAUGAAACGGGAACAAGAAAUCAGACUGAAAUCCGAGCUCAGGUUGAGCCGUUCA
rnacentral:ncRNA from 1 species